rnacentral:rRNA from 1 species
GUCGAGCGGAGAGAGGUAGCUUGCUACUGAUCUUAGCGGCGGACGGGUGAGUAAUGCUUAGGAAUCUGCCUAUUAGUGGGGGACAACAUUUCGAAAGGAAUGCUAAUACCGCAUACGUCCUACGGGAGAAAGCAGGGGAUCUUCGGACCUUGCGCUAAUAGAUGAGCCUAAGUCGGAUUAGCUAGUUGGUGGGGUAAAGGCCUACCAAGGCGACGAUCUGUAGCGGGUCUGAGAGGAUGAUCCGCCACACUGGGACUGAGACACGGCCCAGACUCCUACGGGAGGCAGCAGUGGGGAAUAUUGGACAAUGGGCGCAAGCCUGAUCCAGCCAUGCCGCGUGUGUGAAGAAGGCCUUAUGGUUGUAAAGCACUUUAAGCGAGGAGGAGGCUACUUUAGUUAAUACCUAGAGAUAGUGGACGUUACUCGCAGAAUAAGCACCGGCUAACUCUGUGCCAGCAGCCGCGGUAAUACAGAGGGUGCAAGCGUUAAUCGGAUUUACUGGGCGUAAAGCGCGCGUAGGCGGCUAAUUAAGUCAAAUGUGAAAUCCCCGAGCUUAACUUGGGAAUUGCAUUCGAUACUGGUUAGCUAGAGUGUGGGAGAGGAUGGUAGAAUUCCAGGUGUAGCGGUGAAAUGCGUAGAGAUCUGGAGGAAUACCGAUGGCGAAGGCAGCCAUCUGGCCUAACACUGACGCUGAGGUGCGAAAGCAUGGGGAGCAAACAGGAUUAGAUACCCUGGUAGUCCAUGCCGUAAACGAUGUCUACUAGCCGUUGGGGCCUUUGAGGCUUUAGUGGCGCAGCUAACGCGAUAAGUAGACCGCC